UUCCGGUUGAUCCUGCCAGAGGUCACUGCUAUCGGGGUUCGAUUAAGCCAUGCGAGUCGAGAGGGUUCGGCCCUCGGCGUACUGCUCAGUAACACGUGGAUAACCUGCCCUAGGGGAGGGGAUAACCCCGGGAAACUGGGGAUAAUACCCUAUAGGUUACAGAUGCUGGAAUGCCCUGUAACCAAAAGCUCCGGCGCCCUAGGAUGGAUCUGCGGCCGAUUAGGUUGUUGUUGGGGUAACGGCCCAACAAGCCCGUAAUCGGUACGGGUUGUGGGAGCAAGAGCCCGGAGUUGGAUUCUGAGACACGAAUCCAGGCCCUACGGGGCGCAGCAGGCGCGAAACCUUUACAAUGCGGGCAACCGUGAUAAGGGAACCUCGAGUGCCUGUAAACGCAGGCUGUUCAGGUGUUUAAAACGCACCUGGAGAAAGGGCCGGGCAAGACCGGUGCCAGCCGCCGCGGUAAUACCGGCGGCUCGAGUGGUGGCCGCUUUUAUUGGGCUUAAAGCGUUCGUAGCUGGGUUGUUAAGUCUCUUGGGAAAUCUGGCGGCUUAACCGUCAGGCGUCUAAGGGAUACUGGCAAUCUUGGAACCGGGAGAGGUGAGGGGUACUUCGGGGGUAGGGGUGAAAUCCUGUAAUCCUCGAGGGACCACCUGUGGCGAAGGCGCCUCACCAGAACGGCUUCGACAGUGAGGGACGAAAGCUGGGGGAGCAAACCGGAUUAGAUACCCGGGUAGUCCCAGCCGUAAACGAUGCGCGUUAGGUGUAUCGGUGACCACGAGUUACCGAGGUGCCGAAGGGAAACCGUGAAACGCGCCGCCUGGGAAGUACGGUCGCAAGGCUGAAACUUAAAGGAAUUGGCGGGGGAGCACCACAACGGGUUGGAGCCUACGGUUUAAUUGGAGUCAACGCCGGAAAUCACUAGUGCGGCCGCUUGCAGUCGACCAUAUGGGAGAGCUCCCAACGCGUUUGNUGCA
rnacentral:rRNA from 1 species